rnacentral:rRNA from 1 species
GACGAACGCUGGCGGCGUGCCUAAUACAUGCAAGUCGAACGCUUCUUUCCUCCCGAGUGCUUGCACUCAAUUGGAAAGAGGAGUGGCGGACGGGUGAGUAACACGUGGGUAACCUACCCAUCAGAGGGGGAUAACACUUGGAAACAGGUGCUAAUACCGCAUAACAGUUUAUGCCGCAUGGCAUAAGAGUGAAAGGCGCUUUCGGGUGUCGCUGAUGGAUGGACCCGCGGUGCAUUAGAUAGUUGGUGGGGUAACGGCUCACCAAGGCCACGAUGCAUAGCCGACCUGAGAGGGGGAUCGGCCACACUGGGACUGAGACACGGCCCAGACUCCUAAGGGAGGCAGCAGUAGGGAAUCUGCGGCAAUGGACGAAAGUCUGACCGAGCAACGCCGCGUGAGUGAAGAAGGUUUUCGGAUCGUAAAACUCUGUUGUUAGAGAAGAACAAGGACGUUAGUAACUGAACGUCCCCUGACGGUAUCUAACCAGAAAGCCACGGCUAACUACGUG